ACCCAUUGUAUUCCUUAAUCCCCUCACCUGAUACAUCCCCUGUAUACUGAUGGGAUUUGUCAUGGGAUGUGAGUGAUGGGAUUGGGGGUUGGGUUCGGUGCGCAGUGAAUUGAGAUUAUAUAUACAUUCUGUGUGUUUGUAAAUAAAGUUAUUGUUUUACUACUGUGAAAAAAAAAGAAGGGAAGGAAAAAGAAAGGUACAAAAAACAGAA